rnacentral:rRNA from 1 species
GAGAGCGGAGAGCCACAGGAUCCUUUCCGUCUAGGACUUCGUGUUCAUUUAGCGAGCUCUGUGAAGAAGAGAAGCUGCUCGUGACUUAGGGAGGUACAAAGUCGGCUUGUUAUACGUUUACGAGAAGGUCGAACCGGAACCAAAGGAUAACGAACGUCGUGUCAUACGUGGCCCUUAACGCCGAGGAUCGAGUGUCACGGCUGCUGUCACACCUUUACAGCUCUAUGGUAUGGGUAAACCUUAGCUAGGACCAACGAGCGAUUGUGUUCGGAAGCUGGAGUCGACAUUCCAGGUUCUACCGUAGGGUUUCGGUAAGUCACCGCGGAAACUCCACGAGCUGUAAAGAAACUGAGUUCCGUGUUGCGCCCACGACUUAAUGUAGAACCCGAUGACGAUAUUGUGGAGGUGGCCCUCGUACCUCAUAAAACCGACCAGGCCCCCCAAGCCUCCUCUAGGAAGAAGAGGGAUGGCCGAGAGGGUGUGGGUCUUGUCCAAGUGCCAGUAGCCCACGUCGCGGGAGCGGAACUAUAGGCUGAUGCUACCGUGCCCGAUGGUCCCGAACCCGCAGCGUUGUACGGCGUUAAACAGUCUGAACCACCUGCCUAGGACGAGUCCAUACCCGACGAGGGUCUGGUGUUAUGGUUUUUCCUACAUGAUGAUGCUGUGUUGAAAGAGCCGAAGCCAAUUGUGUUCAGUUUAAACCCUCAAGUUGGCGACGUCGAUACGUCAUGAUUACCUCCGUCGUCGUAAACUCAAGUCGUGAUACAUACACUUGUGUUUGUUUAAGUUACUGUGUAUAUUACCUGCCCACGGAUACUAAGAACUGACCCGAUAUUCUCUACACUUCAGUACACUACGACGUUUUGUCUUAUGUUGGCCAUGAAUGCGUACGGAGUCGCGGUUGUAGUUCACACACCUAAGGUGGUUACUGGUUCCCAUGUGGACGUUAACGUGGCUACCAAUACUUCCGUUGGGAAUAGAAGUUCUGCCUACGUUUCCUCAAUGUUACCCUAAUAAACCAAACUACCAAUAGCAGUACUAGUGAUAGAAGACCCCUGUUUACUAUUAAGUUUUCUCUUUGGACCUAUUUCAAUUCGUCCUCAUAAAGGCGUUCGUACCUCCGCACGAAAACAAACUAUUCUACUUUAGCCUCUUUCCAGACCGAAAGUUACAUAAAAGUCUUCGUCUUGAGUAUGUACGGUGGCUGUUGAAGCUGUCAUCGUCUUAUUAACCUUUUCCUCCGGUACCCUGCCAGAUAUUUCCAUAUUAUUUCUUGUACGGCCAACGUUAAUUUUCUACACGUCAUCAACUGCUCUCUGUCUUCUUCCUUAAACCGGUCCUCUACGAGUAAAACAGGGUUUAGUUAGUGUUCUUGCAACAGUUUGAGAACCCAACAACGGAACUCCACCUUCAAGGUUAAGAUCAUAUACUUAAACAGGAUUUACCAUGUGAUAAACUCGAAUAGGUACCGUUCUUGGUUCGUAACGUUUAUAGAAAGUUGUGAGAGAAUUCCUAACGAGUACUUCGUCGACUUCCUGAGUCGAAGAACGUAAACAUACGUAGAGGGGGUUAUUAAGUACCACUACACUUUUCAAGGUUGUAGGACGAACUACUAUUGGUGUACCGGUUUCACAGUCUGAAGCCUCGGAGGUAUGAUCGCGGUAGACUGUUUCUCGUUAAACAGUGUUACCAAGUUCCAUGAACGCCAAUGGAACUAGGGCUUAUAUACGUUUGUACGGUCAAUUGUCUGUUUUCGCUACACAUGUCAAAACCUCAAUAAGAAGAUCUCUAAGAGUGUCCGGUCGACGGUGACUUCGAGCUCCCCAGACUCUUCGUUUCUUCGAACAGUAACUAAAAGAACAGACGUUACUUCCUCUUAUUAGAUCUUCGACACAACCACUUGGUGCACUUUCCGGUUCUCUCGUACCUCAACAACUCUCCUGAACGUCUGGACCGAUUCUUUACGGAUCUGUACACACCGCUGUUGUCUGGGAGGUACUUUCUCCAGCGGCUACUUGAGUUGUCUAACUCCUUUGAGAGUGACGUAGGGACCCAUGCCGAGCCGCAGCUCUGACUUCAUCUUUUGGAAGAACCUCCUCUAUGAUGACCACCCAUACUUUAUCUUAAUUCACCAAUAGGAUACCCGCUCUCACUCUUGGUUGGGUAUUUGGGAUCUUCAAGGAUAAUACGUUCCACUCCUUUUGUACAUAACAUUAGCCAAUUUGGAUGGCUUCUAUGAAUACAAGGAAGAUAUGGAACAAUGUUACACAUUAUAGAUGCAAGGAAGACUUAGAACAAUGGUACAUAAUCUUGAAUAUUUAAUG